rnacentral:rRNA from 1 species
UACGAGGGGGGCGAGCGUUGUUCGGAAUUAUUGGGCGUAAAGGGUGCGUAGGCGGCCUGACAAGUCUGAUGUGAAAUCCCUGGGCUCAACCCAGGGCCUGCAUCGGAAACUGUCGGGCUUGAGUAUGGGAGAGGUGAGUGGAUUCCGGUGUAGCGGUGAAAUGCGUAGAUAUCGGAAGGAACACCUGUGGCGAAAGCGGCUGCACUGGACCGAUUACUG